GAAACUAUUUGAAGCAAUGUUUAGGUUGGGUUCAUGAUCUUGAAGUUGUAGGUCAAAUUAUGAUACCAAGGUGUGUGUAUGGAAAUCUAAUUGGAAAACCCAAUUGUUCAUUACAUGGGUUUGGUGAUGCUAGUUUGAAAACCUAUUGUGCAGUUGUGUAUUAUGUAUGUGAAUUAAGUUCAGACAAGACUAGUUACAAAAUUGAAGAGAAUGAUGCGACAAAGGUUAAGCGUAGGUUUAGGCAUCUAGCGAAACUGCGAGUUCACUUUUGGGAGAGAUGGAGAAAAGAAUACUUGACGAAUUUGAGAGAGCAUCAUAGAAGUAAGAGGGAGAAGAGGGAUAGGAACGUGAAGAAGGGAGA